GACGAACGCUGGCGGCGUGCUUAACACAUGCAAGUCGAACGGAAAGGCCCUGCUUUUGUGGGGUGCUCGAGUGGCGAACGGGUGAGUAACACGUGAGUAACCUGCCCUUGACUUUGGGAUAACUUCAGGAAACUGGGGCUAAUACCGGAUAGGAGCUCCUGCUGCAUGGUGGGGGUUGGAAAGUUUCGGCGGUUGGGGAUGGACUCGCGGCUUAUCAGCUUGUUGGUGGGGUAGUGGCUUACCAAGGCUUUGACGGGUAGCCGGCCUGGGAGGGUGACCGGCCACAUUGGGACUGAGAUACGGCCCAGACUCCUACGGGAGGCAGCAGUGGGGAAUAUUGCACAAUGGGCGGAAGCCUGAUGCAGCAACGCCGCGUGCGGGAUGACGGCCUUCGGGUUGUAAACCGCUUUCGCCUGUAACGAAGCGUGAGUGACGGUAAUGGGUAAAGAAGCACCGGCUAACUACGUG
rnacentral:rRNA from 1 species